AUUGAACGCUGGCGGCAGGCCUAACACAUGCAAGUCGAGCGGUAGAGCGAAGCUUGCUUCUCUUGAGAGCGGCGGACGGGUGAGUAAUGCCUAGGAAUCUGCCUGGUAGUGGGGGAUAACGUUCGGAAACGGACGCUAAUACCGCAUACGUCCUACGGGAGAAAGCAGGGGACCUUCGGGCCUUGCGCUAUCAGAUGAGCCUAGGUCGGAUUAGCUAGUUGGUGGGGUAAUGGCUCACCAAGGCGACGAUCCGUAACUGGUCUGAGAGGAUGAUCAGUCACACUGGAACUGAGACACGGUCCAGACUCCUACGGGAGGCAGCAGUGGGGAAUAUUGGACAAUGGGCGAAAGCCUGAUCCAGCCAUGCCGCGUGUGUGAAGAAGGUCUUCGGAUUGUAAAGCACUUUAAGUUGGGAGGAAGGGUUGUAGAUUAAUACUCUGCAAUUUUGACGUUACCGGCAGAAUAAGCACCGGCUAACUCUGUG
rnacentral:rRNA from 1 species